UUGCUCAGUGUGGAAUGAUUUCACAGUACACUCUUGAUCAACCUCAAGGCAUAAAAAACCUAAUGUGCAUUAUUUAUAAAAGGCUUCACUUGGUAGGAUUUGUUGUCACUGAUCAUUACCAUUUCUUUCCCAAGUUCUUAGACAUAAUGUUGCCUUACAUAAGAGAAAGGAAGAUGGUGUAUGUAGAAGACCUAGUUGAAGGCCUUGAGAGCUGUCCAGCAGCUCUGGUGGGAAUUUUUAGUGGCAAAAAUGUGGGAAAGCAAGUGGUAAUAGUUGCUCAAGGAUAAAUUUG
rnacentral:lncRNA from 1 species